GGAGGGGUAGCCUAAUUGGUAAGGCAGUAGUCUUGAAAACUACCGCGAGUAAUCGCUUGCAGGUUCGAGUCCUGUCCCCUCCGCCA
rnacentral:tRNA from 1 species